rnacentral:rRNA from 1 species
UACAGGGGGUGCAAACGUUGCUCGGAAUUAUUGGGCGUAAAGCGCGCGUAGGCGGCCACUUAAGUCGGAUGUGAAAGCCCCUGGCUCAACUGGGGAAGUGCACCCGAAACUGAAUGGCUUGAAUGCAAAAGAGGGUCGCGGAAUUCCCGGUGUAGAGGUGAAAUUCGUAGAUAUCGGGAGGAACACCGGGGGCGAAGGCGGAAUCCUGGGCCAACACUGACGCUGAGUGAGCGAAAGCCGGGGGAGCAAACGGG